GCUCCCGGAUGUUAGCGGCGGACGGGUGAGUAACACGUGGGUAACCUGCCUGUAAGACUGGGAUAACUCCGGGAAACCGGAGCUAAUACCGGAUAGUUCCUUGAACCGCAUGGUUCAAGGAUGAAAGACGGUUUCGGCUGUCACUUACAGAUGGACCCGCGGCGCAUUAGCUAGUUGGUGGGGUAAUGGCUCACCAAGGCGACGAUGCGUAGCCGACCUGAGAGGGUGAUCGGCCACACUGGGACUGAGACACGGCCCAGACUCCUACGGGAGGCAGCAGUAGGGAAUCUUCCGCAAUGGACGAAAGUCUGACGGAGCAACGCCGCGUGAGUGAUGAAGGUUUUCGGAUCGUAAAGCUCUGUUGUUAGGGAAGAACAAGUGCGAGAGUAACUGCUCGCACCUUGACGGUACCUAACCAGAAAGCCACGGCUAACUACGUGCCAGCAGCCGCGGUAAUACGU
rnacentral:rRNA from 1 species